rnacentral:lncRNA from 1 species
GUCAGAAACUGGAAAUUUCUGGAAUGAUUUCUAAAAACCUCACGUUGUACAGCAGAGUCACUGAAAAUCGUUACAUUCUUCCAAAAUAUCUGUUGAAAAAGAGAACUGUUCUUUCAAUUAGCAGUUUUAUUCAAUUAUCGCUUUUCAAGAAGAGACUUUAACCAAACGUUCAUCAAGUGCCUGCUAUAAUGAAAACUCCAUUGGCAUUCCACUGAGAGCACUGGAGGUCUGUCUGUCCCACACUCCUUCCUCAUAGCAACGUGAAGCCCACAGUCUGGAAGGAUGAGAUCCUGAAAAGACCUAGCUUCAUGUCACACAUUUUUGGAAGCUUCCUGGAAUCUCUGAUGGUGACUCGAGUGAGGACUCCUAGGAAUGGAGGGUAUGAAGUCUGAACUUGACAUCUUUUGUAUCCAGGCAAGGCUUCCAGUGGUGAGACUAGGUUAAAUUCCUUUUGAUUUGUUGGCUGAAGGGUCCCAUUGAGAUCGCUAAGCCAAGGCUGAUGCUAAGACAGAGGAUCACUUUCUGAAAACUGACAGCGGAAGCCCCAUUGCUGACGACAGCAUCCACACAGCUCAUUGAACAUGGGAGGUUGAGCUGGUGCCUGCAUGGAGCCUUCACCCUAUAGUCUAGUCUCUGGUGUAAGAAGACACUCAUUCUGCAGCCUAUGGAAAGAGAAACUUGGAUAGCAACCCAGCCACAAAACCCUCGAUCUGGGGCAAUGGUGGCACAGAAUUUGUGGGAGUGGCCAACCAAUGUUUGGUCUAACUUGAGGCCCAGGCCUUGAGAGAGCCCAAUACUCUACACUGCCUGGAUGGCCAGGUGUGGGAGAUUAGACAGCCCAGAGAUCUAGUCCUAGGGUAAAACCAAACACGACUGGCAAAAAAGUCAAUGAAAUAAUUCCUGAUGAUAUUCUGCUAUACUCAUAGAUCAGAGCCUUGUCCAGUUAUCAGAGCGACUUCCUCUGGCAGCAAAUUGGAGUGGGUGCAGAGACCAGCAACCAGACACUAUGCAGAGAAAGAGUCUAAAUCAGGUCUCUAUCAGGUCCCUCCCCUCAGAGAUUGGGGAACCCCGUGAAGGAGGGUGAGGAAAGAGUAGGAGUCAAAGGGGAUAAUGGAGGAGAACAGGGCCCACUGAAUCAACUAUGCUGGGGUCACAUGGGCUCACAGAGACUGAAGAGAUAAGCACAGGGCUUGCAUGGGUCUGCACGGGGUCUUUUGUGUACAUGUUACGGCUGUUAGCUUGGUGUUUUGUGGGACUCCUAACAGUAGGAGCAGGUGUGUCUCAGACUCUUUUGCUUGCUCUUGGGACUGUCUUCCUCGUAUUGGGUUGCUUUGUCCAGUCUCGAUAUGAGGGCUUUUGCCUUGUCCUCUAUCUUGUUUGCUCCUGUCUGACUGCCAUCUCU